UCUCGUUCGCCCACGGGUCGCAGGCCGCACCCGGUGCCGGACCUGUCUUCAAGCCCGUCUUCCCGGGUACCCUGCGUGUGCCUCCGUGUAUGGAGGCUGCCUCACUAAACUCUGAGACUAUGUCUUGGUGGUUAGCCCCCAGACUGAAAACAGCGAAAAGAGAAGGGGGAAAGGCCUGCCAUGUGGGGUCAUGGACGAUAAGGAGCUUGGCAGUGAGAAGCAACAAAGCAUGGAAAGGGGAAAUGCUGCACGCCACUCUGGCAUCUGUGUUCUGUACAGUGAUGGGACUGGGUAGGUAGUGAUUUUCAAAUUUCUUUUUACCUUGACCCACAGUGCUCCAGUACACAUGUGAAUGUAAGUUCCAUGAGAGCAGAGACUGUAUCUUGUUUAUCUGCAUCUCCAGCUCCAAGCACAAGGAAUGCUCACACAUGACCUGUGGUCCAAAAUCAUACCAGGAAGGUAUGAGCUCCAUUUGAUCCAUAAGGAAACAGAGGCUCAAAAAGCUUAAGUCAUCUGCCCAAGGUCACAGAGCUAGAAGUGGAGGAGCUGGGAUUCAAACCCGAGUCCUGCUUCAGCUUCCGCGAUGAAGAGUCAGUUAAAGAAUAAAUAGAAAGAAAGGAUAUGACACGUUUGUAAGUACUCUCUAGUUUUUCAUCUUUAAAAAAUGUAGGUGUAAAUUUGUAAUUUUUUGGUUUUGCAUGGUAGAGGACUUCCCUUAAGCAGUAGAUGAAUGAGGAAGGAAAAAUUCAGAUUAAUUCAAAACAGGCAAAACAAUCCUGAUAAACCAUUUUUUUAGUAAAAUACGGUAGUAAAAUUGACAACAAAACCCCCCAAACCACCACCAGUGCUGCUGAGAUUGUUGUAAAACUGGUUUCUGCCUCUUGGCAAGCGGCCUGUAUUUUUAGUUCACACUAUGUGUUAGUUUUUAAUUAUUGUGUGAUGAGCUGAUAAAUGCCACCCUCCUGUACUAGACUGGAAGCGACAGGAGGGCAGGGUCUGUCUAUCUUGCUCAUCUUAUGCUCCUGGAGCUCAAUGCCUAGCGCCAGUAGAUACUCAAUUUGUAACUGUUGCAUAAAUGGAUAUUGUUGUUGCCAUGAUUAACUUUUUGGAAGAGAAUCAGGCAAUAUAUAGUAAGAGCUAUAAGAUAAAAUAUUAUUUAACUAGUAAUCUACUCCUGUGAGGAAAAAAUAUUCAACAAAAGCCAAAAAAAGAGAAGAAAGAAAGAAAAGACAUGAAGA